UACGGGGGGGGCAAGCGUUGUUCGGAAUUACUGGGCGUAAAGGGCUCGUAGGUGGCCAACUAAGUCAGACGUGAAAUCCCCUCGGCUUAACCGGGGAACUGCGUCUGAUACUGGAUGGCUUGAGUUCGGGAGAGGGAUGCGGAAUUCCAGGUGUAGCGGUGAAAUGCGUAGAUAUCUGGAGGAACACCGGUGGCGAAGGCGGCAUUCUGGACUGUAACUGACACUGAGGAACGAAAGCCAGGGGAGCA
rnacentral:rRNA from 1 species